UACGUAGGGGGCUAGCGUUGUCCGGAAUCAUUGGGCGUAAAGAGCGUGUAGGCGGCCCGGUAAGUCCGCUGUAAAAGUCAAAGGCUCAACCUUUGAAUGUCAGUGGAUACUGCCGGGCUAGAGUCCGGAAGAGGCGAGUGGAACCCCUGGUGUAGCGGUGGAAUGCGCAGAUAUCAGGAAGAACACCAACGGCGAAGGCAGCUCGCUGGGACGGUACUGACGCUGAGACGCGAAAGCGUGGGGGAGCGAACAGG
rnacentral:rRNA from 1 species